AUGAGUCACGUAUUUGUGAGCCAUUUCACCACGAGGGUGUUUGGAUGGAAGACAGGAACCUGCUCACCCAAACAGCAACAAAGGUGAAAAACAUCAUAGACUGAAGAGUGAAUAAAAAUGCCUGAUUAAUGGUGUGCCUCUAA